GCUUCAGAUUUGAUUUAGGUUCCUUUCUGAGCUUAGUCUCUCCCCUUCUAGACUUUUAUAAUGUUGGGCUGCAUCAUAUGUGGUCUCCUUCUGAAACAGCCUGGCCUGGUUUUGAUUUUUAAGCUAGAGGUCCAGCAAAACAAAGGUAGCUUUUCUCUGGGUAUUUCUAUUAUGUGGUCAUCACUCCAGGACUUAUUGUAGAGCUACACCUUCACGCAUGCUGGUACACACAUACACACACAUACACAGACACACACAUACACACACACACACAUACACACACACACACACACACACACACACACACACACACACACACACACACACACACCAGGUUCACAUCCUCUGAGAUAAAAGAGGUUCACACUCAAGGUGAGUCAUCCCUCAAUUUGUUCUCUUUAAAGCAGAGUAAACUCAGGAGCUGUUCUUGCUGAGAGCCCUGCAGUACUCCACAGCACAGUGUUGAUGCUCCCACAUCAACAAAGUUAGAGCUACACUUUUGUCUUGUCUGUCGUCACUGCGAUGGACUCCCACCUGCCUGGAGUAAAUCCUGCCCUUUCUCAUCUGAUUUGCUUUGAGACCACACAGCAGCACCGGCCUUUUCUAAGGAACUGAGAGGAUCCCUGAGCCCAGGCAGGGGGCUGCCUGAACUGACCUGCUAGUCCCCUUUUUUGAGUGAAGCCCACAUCCUUGUGUUUGGGGUCCUGGAAUUCCCAAUUCUAUUCUUUUCCUGUUGAUGACAUAAGAGCUGUUGUAGCCUUGGGUAUCAUCUUUCUUGUGGGAACUCUGUUGUUAAGCUAAGGGGAAGCCCCUAAAUCAUCAACGAAACCCCUGGGGAAUUAAAUAUAUCUGUAGCAACUA
rnacentral:lncRNA from 1 species